rnacentral:rRNA from 1 species
GAGUAACACGUGGAGAACCUGCCCCCUCCCCCGGGAUAGCCGCCCGAAAGGACGGGUAAUACCGGAUACCCCGGGGCGCCGCAUGGCGCCCGGGCUAAAGCCCCGACGGGAGGGGAUGGCUCCGCGGCCCAUCAGGUAGACGGCGGGGUGACGGCCCACCGUGCCGACAACGGGUAGCCGGGUUGAGAGACCGACCGGCCAGAUUGGGACUGAGACACGGCCCAGACUCCUACGGGAGGCAGCAGUGGGGAAUCUUGCGCAAUGGGGGGAACCCUGACGCAGCGACGCCGCGUGCGGGACGGAGGCCUUCGGGUCGUAAACCGCUUUCAGCAGGGAAGAGUCAAGACUGUACCUGCAGAAGAAGCCCCGGCUAACUACGUGCCAGCAGCCGCGGUAAUACGUAGGGGGCGAGCGUUAUCCGGAUUCAUUGGGCGUAAAGCGCGCGUAGGCGGCCCGGCAGGCCGGGGGUCGAAGCGGGGGGCUCAACCCCCCGAAGCCCCCGGAACCUCCGCGGCUUGGGUCCGGUAGGGGAGGGUGGAACACCCGGUGUAGCGGUGGAAUGCGCAGAUAUCGGGUGGAACACCGGUGGCGAAGGCGGCCCUCUGGGCCGAGACCGACGCUGAGGCGCGAAAGCUGGGGGAGCGAACAGGAUUAGAUACCCUGGUAGUCCCAGCCGUAAACGAUGGACGCUAGGUGUGGGGGGACGAUCCCCCCGUGCCGCAG